GUAGGUGGCAAGCGUUGUCCGGAGUUAUUGGGCGUAAAGCGCGCGCAGGCGGUUCUUUAAGUCUGAUGUGAAAGCCCACGGCUCAACCGUGGAGGGUCAUUGGAAACUGGAGAACUUGAGUACAGAAGAGGAAAGCGGAAUUCCACGUGUAGCGGUGAAAUGCGUAGAGAUGUGGAGGAACACCAGUGGCGAAGGCGGCUUUCUGGUCUGUAACUGACGCUGAGGCGCGAAAGCGUGGGGAGCAAACAGGGAUUAGAUACCCUGGUAGUCCACGCCGUAAACGAUGAGUGCUAAGUGUUAGGGGGUUUCCGCCCCCUUAGUGCUGCAGCUAACGCAUUAAGCACUCCGCCUGGGGAUACGGCCGCAAGGCUG
rnacentral:rRNA from 1 species